rfam:Clostridium bornimense replicon M2/40_rep1, complete genome, type strain M2/40T
UCUGGUGAUGAUGCCUCUAAGGGAUACACCCGUUCCCAUACCGAACACGAUGGUUAAGCCUCAGAGGGCCGAUGGUACUGCACGGGAGACUGUGUGGGAGAGUAGGAUGUUGCCAGGU